AAGAUCCAAUCGUGGAACUCACUCUCCCCUUCCUGUUUAGGUGCAGUGGGACUGUGCCCCUUUUCCAAGGUUCCUGUCUCAACCUGCCCUGUUAUCUGGCUUCCACCUCACCUUCCUUCCUGGCAAUGUCCAUCCUUACUUGCUUCCUGACAAGGAUCUUCCCGAGCCCUUGAAAUUGCUCCAUUACCUGUAAGAGGCCAAAAUAAAACUACCUUCCAGCAUCUGCAAGAACUCUCCUGGCAGUCUCUGAGAACCAAGGAAAAACAGGAGACCAACUGGUAGCAUUUUCUCUAAGCAAGGCAACAUCCCUGAGGUACACUCAGGUGAGAGUACUUCAGGGAAUUCCCACUGAGAGUAUCUUUUAUGAAGCUGGUGAAGAAGUUCCUCGCAGUUCAGGGGCCCACAUGAGCAGGAUGUUGGCAGAUGAUGUAGGAUAGGAACACCAUAGGGGACAGAAGACGCUCCUACUGCUUCCAAGCACUGCACUGCCCUGUGAGCUGACUCAGUUAGGUGGAGCACCAGGUCUUCAGCCAGGACCAGAAAACCACCAGCAGCUGAAAGCAGCAGGUUGUGUGGAGCUGCAGCAGGUUGUGUGGUGCAGAUAGCAGGUGGUUCCUGGCUGCGGCUGGUCAUGCACUUGCACCAGUGCACUGGCACGCCCAGCCUGGCUCCACUGACCCAGGGGUGUCACUGAGCCUGUGGAGCAAAUUCCUGCUAAUGAGACUGCAGAUCAUCUUGUAGUCAUCCCUGUUACAAGCAGCAAGACACUGUCUCAGCCUCCUGAUGUCAACCUCUGCUAGGGUUUUGUAUUAAGAGAACAUAGGCUCAAUUUCUCAUCCCCAUUAUAACUUCAGUGAUGUAAGAGUAGAGGAAAAAAAGACAUUAAAUACUCUGCAUCAAGGCAUGCUGGGUCUUUUUCCAAAUAAAAUGGAGGAGAAUCCCUCAGUAGGGUGUAGUCCCACACAAGAAGUUUUACUAUCAGGUUCCCUCACUGGGAGGAUGGCUAUGAGGAUAAGCAUCUUCCUGCUGCUCCACACACCCACAACUACCUUGUGGCCAUCAGUCAUGCUCAGCAGGGAUGUGGGCAUGGGGACAGAAGGCUGGUCACUGCCAAAGGCUUCCUGGGCAGCUGUGUGCUUGGAGGAGCACUGCUGGAAGACACCUCUGACUGCAGCUCUCCUCUCCCUGCAAGACAGUUGUGGUCCCUGAGGACCAUCCUUGUGUGCUGGGCCUAGGAGUAGGCUCACUUGCACCAAAUGACCACUCAUGUGUCCUCACAGUCAGUACAUCAAACAGAAAGGCAGCUGGGAGACCCAGACUAUUGCAGUACCACAGGCUAGUGUUUACCCUCAUUUGCAUGGAUGUAAACAACCUGCUUGGAAGCAAGCAAGGAUACCUGAUUUUGGCUACUGCCAGCGUGAGGAGGACGCUGCAUGGGGGGUACAGAGCUACCAGGAGAAGCUACAGUGAAAUCAACCCACUCUUC